AUUGAACGCUGGCGGCAGGCCUAACACAUGCAAGUCGAGCGGAUGACGGGAGCUUGCUCCUGGAUUCAGCGGCGGACGGGUGAGUAAUGCCUAGGAAUCUGCCUGGUAGUGGGGGACAACGUUUCGAAAGGAACGCUAAUACCGCAUACGUCCUACGGGAGAAAGCAGGGGACCUUCGGGCCUUGCGCUAUCAGAUGAGCCUAGGUCGGAUUAGCUUGUUGGUGAGGUAAUGGCUCACCAAGGCGACGAUCCGUAACUGGUCUGGGAGGAUGAUCAGUCACACGGGAACUGAGACACGGUCCAGACUCCUACGGGAGGCAGCAGUGGGGAAUAUUGGACAAUGGGCGAAAGCCGGAUCCAGCCAUGCCGCGUGUGUGAAGAAGGUCUUCGGAUUGUAAAGCACUUUAAGUUGGGAGGAAGGGUUGUAGAUUAAUACUCUGCAAUUUUGACGUUACCGACAGAAUAAGCACCGGCUAACUCUGUGCCAGCCGCCGCGGUAAAAC
rnacentral:rRNA from 1 species